AUGCUAUUCAAUUUGUUGGCAGAUGUAUUCUCCCGAAUGCCGAUGAAGGCGGUCAAUAACAAUAUAAUAUCUGGGAUUGUUCCCAAUAUUAUCCCACGUGGUCUUAUCUGCUUGCAAUAUGCAGAUGACACGAUAUUGUUUCUCAACCCUAAAACUGAGUAUGUAAAAAACUUAAAGUGGUUGCUUGCCUGUUUCAGAAACCUUUCUGGGUUGAAAAUCAACUAUGAUAAGUGUGAAGUAGUGCCAAUUAAUAUGAAUACUGAUGAGGCUAAAUUGUUAUCCCAAAUUUUCUACUGUAAGAUGGGAGAUUUCCCUCUCAAAUAUUUGGGGGUUCCUCUCCACUACCUUAAACUAAGAAGGGAGGAUAUACAAUACAUUAUAGAUAAAAUCAUCAAAAGGAUUUGCGGUUGGAAGGGGAGGUUACUCAGUUAUGAGGCAAAACUUGUACUACUUAAAGCAUGUAUCACUAGCAUUCCAAUGUACUUGAUGUCUGUGAUAAAAUUUCCUAAAUGA
rnacentral:rRNA from 1 species